CCCGAAAGAUCGAAUGAGGAGACUCAUCGUCAGCGGAGUUGGCUUCCAUGUGGUUUGCGAUGUUUGAGACGGUACUUUCGUAUUUGUCAAUUUCACGCGGCCGCUGUGGUAUGUCCGGCUACGUCGGCGUGCACUUCUCCUCUAGUAGAACGUCGCGACCCGCUGGGUGUCGGUUUAAGGACCGGGCAGUUGACUGCACCGUCGCUUCGGUGUACGUUGCAGACUCUCGGAUUCCCGACCGGCUGCUCGGCGGUAUACGCAUGGUAUUGAGCCGCAGUUGAAUGCGUUCAGACUCGUUGCAAGCUCGACCGUUGUUCCGGAGUGCGGACCUAGUGCCGUACCCGGGCAUGGUUGGCUGUUGGUUGACGGUGUUCUCGAACUGGCUUAUUUUCAAGAUACCGGUCGGCGACGCUAUUGCUUUGGGUACUUUCAGGACCCGUCUUGAAACACGGACCAAGGAGUCUAACAUGUGCGCGAGUCAUUGGGAUGUUGAAACCUAAAGGCGUAUUGAAAGAGAAGAUCGGCCUUGCGUCGGUUGAGGGAGGAUGAGUAACGUUUAGAUGUUGCUCCGCACUCCCGGGGCGUCUCGUUGUCAUUGCGACUUGAGGCGCACCUAGAGCGUACACGUUGGGACCCGAAAGAUGGUGAACUAUGCCUGGUCAGGACGAAGUCAGGGGAAACCCUGAUGGAGGUCCGUAGCGAUUCUGACGUGCAAAUCGAUCGUCGGAACUGGGUAUAG
rnacentral:rRNA from 1 species